rnacentral:rRNA from 1 species
GACGAACCGUGCGAACGUUGUUCGGAAUUACUGGGCGUAAAGGGCUCGUAGGCGGCCAACUAAGUCGGAUGUGAAAUCCCCAGGCUCAACUUGGGAACUGCAUCCGAUACUGGAUGGCUUGAAUUCGGGAGAGGGAUGCAGAAUUCCAGGUGUAGCGGUGAAAUGCGUAGAUAUCUGGAGGAAUACCGGUGGCGAAGGCGGCAUCCUGGACCGACAUUGACGCUGAGGAGCGAAAGCUAGGGGAGCAAACGGG